rnacentral:rRNA from 1 species
UACGUAGGGUGCGAGCGUUGUCCGGAAUUAUUGGGCGUAAAGAGCUCGUAGGCGGUUUGUCGCGUCUGCUGUGAAAACCUCAGGCUCAACCUGGGGCUUGCAGUGGGUACGGGCAGACUAGAGUGCGGUAGGGGUGACUGGAAUUCCUGGUGUAGCGGUGGAAUGCGCAGAUAUCAGGAGGAACACCGAUGGCGAAGGCAGGUCACUGGGCCGCAACUGACGCUGAUGGACGAAAGCGUGGGGAGCGAACAGG